rnacentral:rRNA from 1 species
GAUGAACGCUGGCGGCGUGCUUAACACAUGCAAGUCGAACGAACCUUCGGGUUAGUGGCGGACGGGUGAGUAACGCGUGGGAAUCUGCCCUCAGGAGGGGGAUAACGGUUGGAAACGACCGCUAAUACCCCAUAUGCCGAGAGGUGAAAUGAAUUUCGCCUGAGGAUGAGCCCGCGUCUGAUUAGCUUGUUGGUGAGGUAAUGGCUCACCAAGGCAUCGAUCAGUAGCUGGUCUGAGAGGAUGAUCAGCCACACUGGGACUGAGACACGGCCCAGACUCCUACGGGAGGCAGCAGUGGGGAAUUUUCCGCAAUGGGCGAAAGCCUGACGGAGCAACGCCGCGUGAGGGACGAAGGCCUCUGGGCUGUAAACCUCUUUUCUCAAGGAAGAAGAUAUGACGGUACUUGAGGAAUAAGCCACGGCUAAUUCCGUGCCAGCAGCCGCGGUAAUACGGGAGUGGCAAGCGUUAUCCGGAAUUAUUGGGCGUAAAGCGUCCGCAGGCGGCCCUUCAAGUCUGCUGUUAAAACGUGGAGCUUAACUCCAUCAUGGCAGUGGAAACUGAUUGGCUUGAGUAUGGUAGGGGCAGAGGGAAUUCCCGGUGUAGCGGUGAAAUGCGUAGAUAUCGGGAAGAACACCAGUGGCGAAGGCGCUCUGCUGGGCCAUUACUGACGCUCAUGGACGAAAGCCAGGGGAGCGAAAGGGAUUAGAUACCCCUGUAGUCCUGGCCGUAAACGAUGAACACUAGGUGUCGGGGGAAUCGACCCCUUCGGUGUCGUAGCUAACGCGUUAAGUGUUCCGCCUGGGGAGUACGCACGCAAGUGUGAAACUCAAAGGAAUUGACGGGGGCCCGCACAAGCGGUGGAGUAUGUGGUUUAAUUCGAUGCAACGCGAAGAACCUUACCAGGGCUUGACAUCCUGCGAACCUUUAAGAAAUUAGAGGGUGCCUUCGGGAACGCAGUGACAGGUGGUGCAUGGCUGUCGUCAGCUCGUGUCGUGAGAUGUUGGGUUAAGUCCCGCAACGAGCGCAACCCACGUUUUUAGUUGCCAGCAUUUAGUUGGGCACUCUAGAAAGACCGCCGGUGAUAAACCGGAGGAAGGUGUGGAUGACGUCAAGUCAUCAUGCCCCUUACGUCCUGGGCUACACACGUACUACAAUGCUACGGACAAAGGGCAGCAAACUCGCGAGAGCUAGCAAAUCCCAUAAACCGUGGCUCAGUUCAGAUCGUAGGCUGCAACUCGCCCACGUGAAGUAGGAAUCGCUAGUAAUCGCAGGUCAGCAUACUGCGGUGAAUACGUUCCCGGGCCUUGUACACACCGCCCGUCACACCAUGGAAGUUGGCCAUGCCCGAAGUCGUUACUUUAACCCUUGUGGAGAAGGACGCCGAAGGUGGGGCUGAUGACUGGGGUGAAGUCGUAACAAGGUAGCCGUACCGGAAGGUGCGGCUGGAUCACCUCCU